UCAUCAAUGUGAUCUAUGAAAGCCGGUUU
rnacentral:sRNA from 1 species